ensembl:snRNA predicted gene, 24847
GCUUUUUUUUUUUUAUGGCAGCACACAUACUAUAAUUGGAAUAAUAUGGCAUAGAUUGCUCUGGCACCUGAGCAAAGAUUGCAGGCAAAUUAGUGAAUUGUCACAUGUCUUU